AAGCUUGUUGAUCAUGUAUGAAACAUACAUUCCUGUAUACACACCGGUGGAAGCAACAACCUUAGAUCAUUUUUGUAGGUCCAGCAAAUCUGUAGUCAAGGCCAAGAUGUGGUUGGUUAAUACUUUCCUCCUAAUGGGAAUAACACAGAUACAUGCAGACUAUCCUGCAUUGCAAGCUGUUCUGUCACAGAAGGGAUUGCAAAAAGUAUCUCACUGGAUGACCGACUGGCUUCAGAAGGAACUGAGUACAAUUAAGCUCCCAGAGGUCAGAGGGAGUGUCGAUAUUGUUUUGGGCUCAGUUUACUAUGUCCUGCAUGACAUGACCGUCGUGCGCUGCGAUUUGCCAGAACCCUCUGUAGCUUUUUUAGAGGGAACAGGUGUAUCUCUGCAAGUGAGCGGACUCUCUCUUGCCAUCAGUGGUCGCUGGAACACAGAGUUUGGCAUCAUUCAUGAUAGCGGUUGGUUCGAUCUGGCUGUAUAUACCAUCAAUCUCAAAACAUUAUUGGAGUUUCAGAGCACCGAAGAGCACCUUUCCAUUUCCACCGUCAUCUGUUCUGCCGAUGUGGGGGGUGUUCAAGUACAUUUCCAUGGUGGUGCAAGUUUCUUCUUUCAACCAUUUGUUGAAGGGUUCAGUGGACGCAUUACAGAGAUGAUCCGAGAAAGGAUAUGUCCAGGAAUUCAGAGCGGAAUUGAAAAUAUCGACGAAGUUCUGGCUGCAUCUGAAACCGUAAAGAUGGAUCCUUAUGUAUAUCUGAAUAUUUCUCUGACUGACUCACCUGUUGUGUUUGAAAAUGGAUUUGAAUUAAAUGUAAAGGGUGAAUUUUACAGUAGCAGCUCUACUUCUGAGCCACCAUUUUCUCCCAACCAUUUUGAGCUGCCGUGGAAAACAGAUUACAUGCUCUCAGUGGGCAUGUCUGACUUCUGUGUAAACUCAGCAGCAUUUGCUUAUCUUAAAUCUGGAGUGUUGAACAUCACCAUCGAAGAUGACAUGAUCCCCAAGGCCUCUCCCAUCCACCUGAACACAAGUCAGUUUGGAAUCCUGAUUCCACAGCUCCCCAAGUUGUAUCCAGACAUGGAGAUGGAAGUUUUGCUGUAUGCCAGUGAUACCCCCCUCAUUUCCUUUAAUCAAACAAUGAUCAAUGUUGACUUGUCUGCUGCAGCCAAAUUCUAUGCUAUCAAGACACCGAAUGAUUUAAUCCCCCUUUUCAGACUGGAUAUGGUGAGAGCUUUCUUCUUCUUUUUUUUUUUUAAACCAUUUUUAUGCACUUUCCAACUCUUUAAAUAUACAGUACUGCAUUGUUCAUUGUUCCUAAACCUCCUGCUUCCCCAUGCAUACAACAAUCAUAGUCCUAAUUUAGUUUGGUCUAAUGUUUACCUUGGGUUAUGUUGCCAGUAUAUUGUAGUGAAAACCAGAAUUAUGAAUAAUGGAAAAUAUCAAAUAUGUCAGUCACUAAAUAUAAAAGAAAAAUGUCAAUUUAAAUGGUUUUUAAAUCUUCUAGGGGGGUGUUUCUCAAUCAUGGUCCUGGAGUACUCCUGUCAUGCACAAUGUGGUGUUUUGCCUCUUGUAACUAACUAGCUGAUUAGUUGAAUCUAGUCAGUUGUGAGGAAAACACCAAGAUCAAUUUCUACAAAGAGACAUUAUUAACAUAUUUCAAAACCAAAUAUAAAUAAAGAAAAUGAAAAUUUGAAAUUGUUGAACAAAUGCCCACACCUUAAGCACUUAAAUAACAGGUCUUAGAUUUAUACAGUAAGUGCAGAUGACACCUGUACAACACUUUUGUAUUUACAGUAUUUACUUUUGCAUAAUCAUCUUUCCCCUAUUCAAGCAAUAUUCUUUUAUUGCUAAAGUCCAAAUUGACAAUCAGCUGCUGAAGGGUCUUUUGAAAAUGAAAAAUUUGACCAUAUUGCUUGGAUCUACAGAGAUUGAAAAAUUUGACGUUGCACCAAUUGAGCGUAUG